rnacentral:rRNA from 1 species
GACGAACGCUGGCGGCGUGCUUAACACAUGCAAGUCGAACGGAAAGGCCCUGCUUUUGUGGGGUGCUCGAGUGGCGAACGGGUGAGUAACACGUGAGUAACCUGCCCUUGACUUUGGGAUAACUUCAGGAAACUGGGGCUAAUACCGGAUAGGAGCUCCUGCUGCAUGGGGGGGGUUGGAAAGUUUCGGCGGUUGGGGAUGGACUCGCGGCUUAUCAGCUUGUUGGUGGGGUAGUGGCUUACCAAGGCGUUGACGGGUAGCCGGCCUGAGAGGGUGGCCGGCCACAUUGGGACUGCGAUACGGCCCAGACUCCUACGGGAGGCAGCAGUGGGGAAUAUUGCACAAUGGGCGGAAGCCUGAUGCAGCAACGCCGCGUGCGGGAUGACGGCCUUCGGGUUGUAACCCGCUUUCGCCUGUGACGAAGCGUGAGUGACGGUAAUGGGUAAAGAAGCACCGGCUAACUACGUG